UUGAAUGUGCAUAAUAAAUUAUUUUUAAUUCUCGUGUAUAUUGUUGAUGAACGCUUGAUUUUAAAGGUAAAUUUUAAAAAAGGCGAUACUCUCAUUUGGUGCUGGUUGCUGUCCUAUAGUGAUGCUUAGGAUUAGGAUACAUUUACAAAAUUGGUACAGGAAUAGACAUAACUGAAGCUUUAUUUAAUUAAAACGUAAACAGCAUUUGUUAAUAAAUAUUUAGAUCUAAUUUAAUCUAGAUUGUGCGAAAAAUUGCUCGCUAACCAAUGGAGAAUGUGGUAAUCGACUCUUAUUGACUAGUCAAUGCCUAUGAAGUAGUCAAUGCUUAUGGACUAGUCGAUGCUUAUGGACUAGUUUGUAUUCGGUUAAUUGUUAAUAAUUAUUAUUACAAACUUUUAAACUAAAUAAAUACGGAAUAUUCUUUAUAAUAUUUUGUAAUAUUAUAAAUUGAUGUUAAUUCUAUAAUUCUAUAAUAACCCCUUUCCGUUGCUCUUGGCAAAAACCAUUGACGGACUUUAAACUUUGGCAACUCUGCAUUGAUCAUCAAGAAUUACAACAACAACAAGCACCGAAUGAUUCGAAUCAUGUUUCUUGAAAUUAAAUAAAAGCUGGAACAUAAUAGAGUUUACACAAAACGAAAUAAUCUACUUAAAAAAAACUAGGUUAACCAGCUUGCCAGUGACGCCGGUGUUGAAUUACUCAUUUUUGGGUAUUUCCCAAAUAUUACUGUGGGAAGUUGUGCAACAUGGGCAUUUGGUGAAGAGACUAAAAAUAGUGUAACGAAACCAACAGCCCAAUCUUUUCUUAAACAUUGGAAAAGUAUUUUCAUUAAAAGAAGAUAUACGUCAAAAUCCAGCCAAGGCCAAUGUUGAUGUUGAAAAUGAAGAACCACAAACUGAAAAUGUUGAGUUAAACAAA